AAAAAAUGUGAAGGAACAAAUCAGAAUUUUUACUUGAUCAGGCAGUCAACAACUGCUCAACGAGUCACCUAAAUUUGGGGCUAAUCUUAUACAACAUCUUAAGACUAAAGCUGGCGUGCCUUCAGGGCCUUGCAGACUAAAGUAUCACAUGAGUAUAAAAAGACCUCUGCUUGAUGGAUCAGGCAGGAGUCGAACUCAGAAGAGGCAUGACUUUGUUUAGCUCAUAGCAUUAUCACUUCUUGGUCAAUCUUUAUGCAAGGAAUAUGAGCGAUUCUGUUCCAGAUUUCCUUAUUCUCCUUCUGGUAGCAAUAUUUCAGUAAAGGGCAUUUCUUUAUAGAUAGGUAAAUUAGAGAAGCUGGAAGCCUCUCUUCUGGGAAGGACUGAAGUUGAAGACAGUUCUUGAUCUUAAACUCUUGAAGAGAGGUGAGAUGCUGUAGUCCAUUCUUAUUCAGGACUCUGAGACUCUGAAGUUGACAGAUGGAAAGUGUGGUCAGAGUGGUGGGCAGCAACCCCUCCUCAGGAAAGGACUCCAAAUCUUUACAACCUCCAAGACAAAAUAUUUUAAGAGAAGGGAGUCUCUGUAAACCCCAUUUUCUCCUGUUGGCAAUGAGUU
rnacentral:misc_RNA from 1 species